UCUCACUCGCCACCAUUGUUGUUUGUUCCACAGGGAUGAAGGAUGAUCGAUGCGCCAAGCUGGUUGGGAUCACUAGGUGUGGCAACUUUUGUAGGAAGUUAUUAUGGAUUUUGUACUUCUUACACUGGUUAAUUGAUGGUCUCUGCAUUUUCUCGACGCAGGAGCGCUACCAAGACCAUCAGCCAUAUAUAUGGCAGUACUGUAUAUCCUCUAGGCCGUUAAUGUUACCGGAGAGAUUGUAUACAGGAUUGACUGGGCGGAAUGCUGAUCUGACCAAAAUGUCUAAGAGCCUGCUCUGAAAAAUAAGCUCAACAAUCUGGAAUAAUUGGCCCUAGCAAGCGAAGAACAGAUCUAACAAAACUUACCUCGUGAUUUGGGCAUUUCACUUAGUCGAGAUUGUCGACCUUUGACUUGAAAUUCCAGAGGGCAGUCAUGGCACUUCAUCAAUGGUACUUGUGGAUUGAACGAGGAGGGCGAUGCUCCCAAGUCCCAAGCUAUCAAUCAUGGUCAAUAGUGGGAGUAGAGGCCCGACAAAGAAGAGGAGAAAAGAGAGUCAUUUUGAAGCCUUCUAGGAUUGUAGAUCAAAACAUUUAACCGAUACAGGUAGGAAGGAUUUACGCCAAAACCAGAUGCCGGACGUGGUGUCACUAAAAAUGUCUGCACAAUUUGACACCUAGCUAUAUGUGUGCUCGUGACUAAAAUGAGUCACCUAUGUACUCCCUAUUAUGUUGCAUACUCUCUUCGUUUUUAUUUACUUCGCAUAUUAGCUUUGUCCGAAUUCAAACUUUAUAAAGUUUGACCAAGUUUAUAGAUAACAAUAUGAGCAUUUACAAUAACAAAUUUAUAUGAUGUGAAAAUAUGUUCAAUGAUGAAUCUAAUUAUAUUAAUUUGAUGAUGUAUAUGUUAAUAUUUGUUUUCUCUAAAUUUGAUCAAAGUUUAUUAAGUUUGACUUUAGACAAAACUAAUAUGCGGAGUAAAUAAAAAUGGAGGGGCUAGUUACAUUUCAAAGUGCCAUGACCUAAAUGCAAUACCGGCAAUAGUUCAUGGACCUCAGGUGCCCUUUACGCUUAAUUAACUGUACAAACAUAAGCAGCAUUAGUAGAAAGGGGAUUUACGUAUGAACUUUUGUUGGUACUUAGUUUUAUGAGGUGAACUAUUCGACACUACUGGAUGUCGUUGCCGGCAUCACCGUCCAUAGGUGUUGAUUCCCUGCAUGGACCAAUGUCGUGGUUCCACCCCACCCCUAGUUUAUGGUCAAGGUCAAAAUCCCUCUUUCGCUCUGUUAAACUGGAUGGUUGCUACAUUCCAUGUAGUGAGUUCAUUCGAGGCAUUUCGCAUAAGAUUUUGCCAUCUUGAUUUCUUCAUGACUUAGAUCAGCAUUAAAGACGAUUUUUUUUUUUGUGGUUGGAGAUUUUUUUUUACCGGGUAAGGGACUAGAAGGUAUCAAAACUGGCGCAAUUAUAAAAACAAGAGGAACUUAAAAAAAAGAAAA